UGCUGCAGAGAGGAUCACUCGAACACGUCUCCCUCCUGGGAAGCUAUAAGGCGAGACUCCCCGUGAUGCAGAGUGAAAAAGGACUCCGGCUUCAGUCCCUUCUGCUCCAUGGCCUCUCUGAGGCGGACCGGGGGCUCCAGAUUUAUGACCGGCCGGAACCUGGGCAGGUAAGCGCCGAUGGGGAUCGCCGCGAGGUCAAAUGGUCCGAAGCGCCGGCCGAUCUCGUGGAAGCAAGUGCAGUAGCCCGUAUCGCCAGCGAAAAAGAACCGAUGAUCCGGACCUAAAAUGGACCAGCUGCCCCAAAGAGACUGAGGACCACCCAAUAAAAACAGCGAUCAUUAUAUAAUUAAAGUCAAAAUAAAAGCUGUUUUAUUACUGAAA